rnacentral:rRNA from 1 species
AUGGUUCCAGCAAAAGUACUUGCCGCUUCCAGCAAAAAUAUGAAUCGUCGUCACUGGGCCGUAGCAAAAAAAAAAGAGAUGCUUCCAGCUAAAAAAAUUGCUGGUUCCAGCAAGGAUGGAUCACCGUCGUGGCCGUCGCAGCACUGUUGUCGCCGGUUCCAGCAUUUGUUUUGCUGGUUGCAACUCCACCGGCUUAUGGUUGUAGCUCCGCCGAACUACGGUUUCAGCUCCGCCGCGCCAGGUGUGGUCACCGCCGGAAGUUGUAGCUUCCAGCAUCUCCCGCCGAUGGUUCCAACAUCUGCGCACCGUGGAUCCAGCAUCUGCACUCCACGGUUGCAGCACCCCCAUCCCCCGCGUGGCCGCCGUGGAAGCUCGCGCGCGACUCGGUCGCCGCAACUGCCAGCUCGCGGCCCUUGUGAGAUGCAUCUGCGAAUGGCCCCCGGCGUCAACAGUAGAGAAGGAGGGGGAGGAAGGAAAAAUACUCGUUCGAAAGAGAGAAAGAGUAGUAGAGGGGAGUCGCCGGUGGUGGAGCUCGUCGGAGCUAGGAUGUGGCGGCGCAAGGGAGGAAGCAAGGCAGGACGACGAGCACUCUAG